UAGUUGGUGAGGUAACGGCUCACCAAGGCGACGAUGCGUAGCCGACCUGAGAGGGUGAUCGGCCACAUUGGAACUGAGACACGGUCCAGACUCCUACGGGAGGCAGCAGUGGGGAAUAUUGCACAAUGGGCGAAAGCCUGAUGCAGCAACGCCGCGUGAGUGAUGAAGGCCUUCGGGUCGUAAAGCUCUUUGAUCAGGGAUGAUAAUGACAGUACCUGAAAAACAAGCCACGGCUAACUACGUGCCAGCAGCCGCGGUAAUACGUAGGUGGCGAGCGUUGUCCGGAAUUACUGGGCGUAAAGGAUGCGUAGGUGGAUACUUAAGUGGGAUGUGAAAUCCCCGGGCUCAACCCGGGAACUGCAUUCCAAACUGGGUAUCUAGAGUGCAGGAGAGGAAAGCGGAAUUCCUAGUGUAGCGGUGAAAUGCGUAGAUAUUAGGAGGAACACCAGUGGCGAAGGCGGCUUUCUGGACUGUAACUGACACUGAGGCAUGAAAGCGUGGGUAGCAAACAGGAUUAGAUACCCUGGUAGUCCACGCCGUAAACGAUGGGUACUAGGUGUAGGAGGUAUCGACCCCUUCUGUGCCGUCGUUAACACAAUAAGUACCCCGC
rnacentral:rRNA from 1 species